rnacentral:rRNA from 1 species
UUUUAUGUACAUGCCUACAACAUAUAAAUAAUGCACCAAAUCCAAUUAGAACUCCAUAGUUAAGCGUUCUAAGGAAAGCGUAGUAUUGGGAUGGGUGACCGCCUGAGAAGUCCUAGUGUUUUAAAU